CUCCUCUAACCAUCCAAUUUAAAUGGCAGCCUCUCUCCUUGCCAUCUCUCUCCAUUUCCCUGACUCUGCCCCACUUGUUCAUGUUCAAGGCCCCUCUGUCUCUACACCCCAAUGUGUGGCACCGUCCGAGCUGAGGUGUGUCCUUGCUUAUGUUAGUAGAUGGGAAAACCAUCAGAUACCGGCCUCUGCUUCUCUCCUGGGACUCUGGCCUCGUCUACAUCCAGGCCUGCACCUGGAUAACUCUUUUUUCCCAGUACUGGAGAUCAAACCCAAGACCUCAUUCAGAAUGCUUCACAGCAGCCCUGCUCUGGAUAUACAUAGGACUCUCUCAUCAAUUUUCCCAAUCAAAAGUGUUUUCAAUCAUUGCUGUAUUGAGAUAUCCUGUGGGGCAAAAUCACCCCAGAUGAGAAUACUGGCCAGGAGAGACUUUAGACUCAUCUCUUGAGGACCUAGAACCCACCUAUGUGCAGGAGAGUUGGGUGAUAUGAGGUGGAUCAGAGAUUGUGUUCCAAAGCUUAACCAGGAAGAUGUACCUGCCAAAAUGCCAAGCGUAAACUGAGAUGCUGUGUGCAGCUGUUUUAUCCAGGAUCAUCAGGUGGCCAAGUGCUAUCAGUAUCUGUGAACACUGGUUUCCACGGGAACCAGAACCUUGUCCAGCAUAUUGGAGAUUGCCAUUUUUUCUCCACUGCAAAGAAGCUAUUUUUAAAAAUAGAGGAACUUUAAUUACUACAUUUAAAAUGAAGAUUCAGAAACAAUAAGAGCAUUAAGACAGAACCUGCAGGAGGAAAGGCUUUCAGUUUUGGGACCAUUGUGCCAUGGAUAUGUAACUGAAAGGAACUUCAGUCUUCCAGCUCCUUCAUCUUUUUCCACAAGUGAAGAAACUGAACAGUAUUAAAUAACUAGAUUAAGUAAUGUUGUUAUUUAAUGUUACAACUAAGACAAUAAAGAUCUGCUUUAUGCAUCCUGCACUCAUGAUCUCUGUGAUUCUGAGGUGUUCCUAGGUCACUGCUCACGGCCUUAUUAGCACUCUACUCCCCCGCCAAACCCAGUACAAUUGCCCCUCCAUUACUUAGAAACUGUGUUGUGCUUUUUGUGUAAUGUCCUCCACUCUUCACAUUCUACUGUCUCCUAUCUCUAAGUUAUUAAGCAUGCCCAUUUAAGAAUAUUCUUGCAUUCUUUCUACCAAACCACACCUAUUUUACUAAAUAUUCUGUUUCAGAUUUGUCACAAACAUACUCCUCCUCACUUUUCCUCACUCUAAUCUUCCCUCUACCUUUCUUAAAUAACAUGUAUCCUUCCCUUAACACAAUUUAAAACUAUUAUUUCACACAUUCAUCAGCUAGGUUUCUUUCUACUACAAUUAAUCAAAAGCCAAAAUAACAGCAACUUAAACCAUUAGAGCAUCUAGUGUUUACCUAAAAAGGACUCUAGAGGUAGAACUGCUCCUGAGAGACAACAAAUCAGAUUAGAUCCAAAACUAUUUUAUGGUUUCUGUUGUGGCAGAAACCAAUCCGAUUUCUGUCAGUCUGGGCUGAGUUAGUAAUUGAAAACACCUAACUGAAGAGGAAGACGUGUGGGCAGAAGCAACCAGCAGGCAGAUCCUGUCAGAACUGGGGAUAAUAGUUACCAACCUAGUCAGAUAAGCUAUUACAAAGACUUUGCAACAACCGGGUCCCCUAGACAUAACAGGGAAUACAUCUGUUUUCCAUGAAAAUCAGGUGGACUACUUUGGGGGUAAAGGGCUGGGACUUUAACUGUUAUUCAUUUAACACACAUCCAAUUACUCUUCCAGCCAGUCUAGCCUUUGGAGUUCAGGAUAUUGACAAUUAAAGACUAUCCUUUUCCUCAAGCUCAUACUCUGGUUGAGAAAGCAGACACAUAAAUAAUUACAGUUCCACAAAAUGUAUAUUCUAAUAGUUGUAUGUAAAACUCUAUGAAAACCACUGCAGACAGCAAUUAAUUCUGCCCAAAAGUGUCAGAGCAGGUGACUUCUAAGAAGGGAGAGAGGCAUUCCAGAGACCCAGAGAACACACUAGAACAUGAAUGUGGUGGCAUGAAAGAACACAUAAUUUUCAGUAAAAAGGAGGAUUAUGUACCUGGAAUGUAAUGAAAACAUGUGUAAGGUUGGGGAUGGGAAGAUGACUCUUAAUAAAAUGGUACAGUUAACAGACUUUCAGAAGCAGAAUAGAAGGUGACUAAGGAAUUGAGAAAAUAAGACAAGGAUGCAAGUGAACAUGAUGAAUCCGAUUAACUGUGGGUAAAGAUAUGGAGAAAGUGAAUUCAAAUGAGAAACUCAAGACUACAGGGGUUGAUACUUCAAGGUAUAUGUUUGGGUAGGUAAUUGACACUGACAAGUCAAUAUGUUUGCCCUUCUUGGACUGGCAGGAAGUGACUUGAACAAGACGUUCAUAGGAGGAACAUAUCUCUUGGUACAGCUCUGCUUAGUCACCCUCCUUCCUUGAGAUUCGGUCUCUGGGAGAAGGAAAUCCCCAUCAUGGAGCAUACAGGGGAGCAUCUCAUGUAUCUACUUCACAUCUCUAAGACCUUUGUUAAAUUGUAAAAGAUUUCACAGCUUGCUCCGUGUGGCUUUUGUGUUUGAGGGCCUGAUCACUGCUUUGGUAAAGGAGCUUAUAGAACUAGAAAUCAAAAUUUUAGUGGUCCUUCUUUUGACAUCUCUUUCUCAUUCUUUCUUUCCUUAUGAUUUGCAGUUUGGGGCCAUCAAGCCCAGAUAAAGCCCAGAUCAAGCCCAGAUCAUAGGUUUUUAUUUUCUGCUAGCAUAUAUAGUAAUGGGAAUCUCCAAGUUGCAAAGAGUGUGAUAUAUAUAAUGAUAUAUAUAUUUUUUUCUGGAGUAAUUAUAAUUUUGAACACUGCAUUUUUAUAUACCAAACUUAUAUACCCAAAUUUCC
ensembl:lncRNA